CCGAUCCAUGAUUCUCUCUCAUCAUUGGUGUUUCUACCUCUCCCUUCCUCUCCAAAAUCAAUAAGAACAUUUUUUUUUAAGCUGUAUCUUUAAAACAAGAAGAAGAGGAGGAAACAGACACAGAGAGGGUGAGGGGCUUGUCCGAGGACACACAGCCCACACGCAGCUCCGCUGUAGAAAGCUCCAUGGAAGAGCCGCAGGCCGUGUCCGGAGGCCGCGGGCACACUGGCAGGACUGCAGGCGGCGCGGUGCAGCUGACCCUCGUGACAAGGAGUGAGGUUGGGGGUCAAGAGGCAAGAGGGUGGCAGGAGAAAAACUAGGCCCUGCUGGGAGCCAGUCUUUUCCUGCAGGAAAGAGAGAGAGAGAGAGAGAGAGAGAGAGGCCCUGAGGCUCAGAGGUCAUGCAACCCCUGCUCCUCUCCUCGCCCCACUCUAUAGGAGAGGACACGGAGGACAUGGAGGCCCAGACGUCCCUCACUUCCCCAGGUCACACAGCGGGGGGGCAGGGGGCAGGGCUGCCAAACCCAGACUCGGGGAGGAAGCCACCCCAGGGAGUGCCGGGCGCAGGGAGCAGGCCCAGGUCCAGGCUCCUCGGAAGGUGCAAGGGUUUUCUACACCAGAGCCGUGAGUCCGCCGCCUCCUUCCCUCGCACACCCUGGGGGACCCACCUGGUUCCGGCCUCCCCCUCCCCACCCACCAGAAGGCUGUUCCUUAGAAACCCGGCCGGGCUCCCGAACCUGGGCUUCCGCAGGGCCGGGCCGUGAGGGGAGGCAGCGGGUGGGCCGGAGCCACGGGAGGUAAAUAAAGUCACUGGCCAGCAAGGCGGCCGCUGGGCGGGGCGGAGGCCAGACCCUCGGUGGGCCGGUUCCCAGCCCUGCGCCCGGCAGUGCCCGAGCGGCUGGGCCGGGUUCUGGGCCGCGGCCCGGGCUGCAGCCAAGACACGAGGCUGCCUUGCCCCGGCCUGUCCCGGGCGGAGCUGCCUCUCGCCUGGCUCCGCGGCCCCCGCUGGGGCCUGUUCGGAUCUGCACGGAGGACCCACGCCGCCCGGCUGGCUCGGUGGAGAGACACUCGCUGUGCCCACCCCAUCCCGGGCCCUGGGCUGGGAGCCACGGGCAGGCGACCCCUGGUCUCCUGGGGCUCAGGUGCCAGCGGGGAUGGUCCCAGACCAGCAUUCUGCCACCUGGGCACGACCCUGGGGCUGGGUCCCUCUCGGCUGCGAGGGGCUGUCUUCUGCGUCUUGAAUGCUUAGCGGCACCUCGGGCAGCAGCGCCCUGGACAUGACCUCCCGCGAUGCCUCCAGACCUCACCUCGUGCCCCCGGCCCCCGUGGGCCAGAGCUCUGCGAGGGACACGCCCUGCCGGCCUCCCGCUCAGCUGUCCGGCCCUGGGACUCAGCAGUAAAAAGAUGCAGGGGAGAGACAUUCACUCUCAAACGCAGUUUAUUUCACCCAGGACAGCCACAGCACGGUCACAUCCACAUGUGAUGCACACAGAAGGUUGUCACAGAGAUUGUACAUCGUCUCCUCCCGCUACGUGUUCGGAACCCGUGGCCUCUCAGACUCGGCACAGCCGUGGGGCGGCCACCGCGGAGGACCCAGCUCCUCGGGACAGCAGAAGCGGGAGCCUGGCCGGCCAGUGGGUCCCCGCGGGCAGCACCGCAUCGCCCGGGGACCGUCAGAAAUGUGGGCUCAGGCGCCUCCCAGCCCUGCUGGUUCGGAAUCUGCGCUUUAACGGCCUCCCAGCUGCCUCACGGCUCCCCAGGCGGCCGGAGGGAGGGGUGACGGAGAGGUCAGGAGGGGGCCGAGCCUGAACCUGCUGAGAGGGGGUGAGCAGCCCCCCAGCCACAGUGGGGUUCAGGUGAAACCAACGGUGCUCCGUGCAGGCAGGCAUGGGGGAAGGGGGGAUGGAGGCAGGGGGGAUGGGUCAGGCAGGGAUGGGUGCCUGGCCCAGAAGCCUCAGGGAGGGUGAAUCCCGUUCUCCUGCAGCCCCUUCCUGGGGAACAGCCAGAGUGGGGGAGACACCGGUAUUUAUGAGGGUGAACACAGCCCUGGGGAGGUCAGAGGCCGUGGGCUGAGGACUGCUUCCUGUGCAGUGACCCUGGGUAGGUCACUGAGUCCCUCCGCCCUCAGCGGCCUCCCCUAAGCCGGUCACUGCAGCUAAAAGCCCUCGCAGAGCUGUCCAGUCAGCACGGUGACCGCAGUGCCGCGUCGCUCACACCCAGCACCUGGCCCUGUUCGCACGCAGCGCGAGCAGAGCCGGGUCCACUCGGACCGGCUGAGGCCCAGCGCCCACCCUCCCCACCUUCCCCCCAGGCUGACUCACAGACAAACCAGCUCCCGCCUCCUGACCCGCAGCCCUCCCUCCCACAGGCUCGCAUUUCUGCGCAGGGAGUGGACACCUAUUGCUUUUUGCCUCCCAGCAACCCUCCCCUUUCAUCCUUGGAAACAGCAUUUCUUUCCCAGCCCGUGCGGUAUUUCUGUUAGAAAGAAGAUUUCUCUCAGGUGAGGUGCUUAUGCUGCUAGAAUGUGGGCCCAGAGCUACUGGGAAGAUUCUCGCCACCCCUACCACACCCCCAUCGUGCGCCUACGAAGGCAGAGCUGAGAACCAGAGAACAGCAGAUCCCUAACACUAUUGCUUGGGCACCUGGAUACAGCCAUGCCUGAAGCAGGCCCCUGCCUGUCUUUCCCCCUCUCGCUGAUUUAAAUCCCAUUUCUGUCCCUUGCAACCAAGAGUACCUGGUUGACUAAUGCAAGGCUCGUGUACCUUAGACCAGACCAGACUGACUCAACAGUAUAGAGACGGAAGAGGAAAAAGGCAAAACAAACAAAUAAAAAACUUUCUCUUUCUUGCGCUUUCAUCUUCUGGAGACGGUGCCUCGGUUAAUGGUUGCUGAAUGAGUGUGCAAACACGUUCAGGGGAGCCCUGCCCAUGGCCACUUACUAAUCACCAGGUUACCUGGGUAAACAUUAGGGCGCUUGGUGCCAACCAGAGCUGUCCACGUGAAACCUGUGUCAGUGCCACGAAAAUACGCCCCACGCCGUUUCCGGCGGCCCCGCGAGAACUUGCCAGAGCUGUGAACGCCCAGCAAGGCUGCAUGUCUGUCUCGGCGCUGGGGACGUGUGCUGGCCGUUGCCUCCUGCAGAGCAGGAGCCAUUCAGCAAAUAUUUACCGCCGGCUUCCGGGUGCCACUCUCUUGGGGUGUCUGAACCAGGACCGGCAAGACCCGCAGUUUCUCGGAGUUCGCCUAUGCGUUGGGACCGAGGUGGCCAGUUCCUACUACUUACUUCUCCGGAGUGUAGAGAAGAUGGCAUUAGAGCCUGGGGAGGGAAGUGCUUUUUAACGUUGAAAUGUCCUGUAAAAAAACAUGUUCUGUCCUGGCCAGCUGGCUCAGUGGAUAGAGUGUCAGCCUACGGACUGAAGGGUCCCAGGUUCGAUUCCCGGUCAAGGGCACAUGCCCGGGUU